CCUGCUCACCAACUGUCUCGCACUCUCCAAAUUCUCAUCUUCAGCUGUAUCUUCCCUAUUGUAACCACCUUCUAAAACCGUGAAUGGACGAGAUAAAUCUGCACCAGCAGCCAUAUUUCCUCCAAAAUCAUAGAUCAAACCAACCCAGCAAAAUUUCUUAACUCACAAGCUCUUGGCUUGGACUUCCAACUUCAGAUUCCCUUAUGUACGCCACGCAAGUGCCCCAACGAACUCCAAAAUCCAAAGGAAAUACCUCGAAUUAUUGAGCAACUCCCGCAAGAACGUCCAGCAAGCAAACCCCGAAAGCUUCCAACUUGU
rnacentral:lncRNA from 1 species